rnacentral:tRNA from 1 species
GCAAUGGUGCCUCAGCGGUAGAAUUUUUGCCUUUCACGUGGGAGACCUGGGUUCGAUUCCUGGCCAGUGCA